UUUUAUGGAGAGUUUGAUCCUGGCUCAGGAUGAACGCUGGCGGCGUGCCUAAUACAUGCAAGCCGAGC
rnacentral:rRNA from 1 species